GCUAGUUGCUAACCCGUAGCCAGCAGUGAACGAGCUUCGUUAUGUAGGUCCAUUCUUACUGUAUCGGCAUUACAGAAGUCUCUCGUUAGCAUCUUGCAGGCUACUUAUCGCAAAGCGACGCAUGUGCGACUCACAUCUGCACUUGACUCGCAUCGGGUAG